rnacentral:rRNA from 1 species
GACAGAGGGUGCAAACGUUGUUCGGAAUUACUGGGCGUAAAGCGCGUGUAGGCGGCCCUGCAAGUCGGAUGUGAAAUCCCACGGCUCAACCGUGGAAGUGCAUUCGAAACUGCAGGGCUAGAGUCCUGGAGAGGAAGGUGGAAUGCUUGGUGUAGAGGUGAAAUGCGUAGAUAUCGAGAGGAACACCUGCGGCGAAGGCGGGUUGCUGGGCUGACACUGACGCUGAACUGCGAAAGCUAGGGGAGCGAACGGG